rnacentral:rRNA from 1 species
UGCAGUCGUACGCUUCUUUUUCCACCGGAGCUUGCUCCACCGGAAAAAGAAGAGUGGCGAACGGGUGAGUAACACGUGGGUAACCUGCCCAUCAGAAGGGGAUAACACUUGGAAACAGGUGCUAAUACCGUAUAACAAUCGAAACCGCAUGGUUUUGAUUUGAAAGGCGCUUUCGGGUGUCGCUGAUGGAUGGACCCGCGGUGCAUUAGCUAGUUGGUGAGGUAACGGCUCACCAAGGCCACGAUGCAUAGCCGACCUGAGAGGGUGAUCGGCCACAUUGGGACUGAGACACGGCCCAAACUCCUACGGGAGGCAGCAGUAGGGAAUCUUCGGCAAUGGACGAAAGUCUGACCGAGCAACGCCGCGUGAGUGAAGAAGGUUUUCGGAUCGUAAAACUCUGUUGUUAGAGAAGAACAAGGAUGAGAGUAACUGUUCAUCCCUUGACGGUAUCUAACCAGAAAGCCACGGCUAACUACGUGCCAGCAGCCGCGGUAAUACGUAGGUGGCAAGCGUUGUCCGGAUUUAUUGGGCGUAAAGCGAGCGCAGGCGGUUUCUUAAGUCUGAUGUGAAAGCCCCCGGCUCAACCGGGGAGGGUCAUUGGAAACUGGGAGACUUGAGUGCAGAAGAGGAGAGUGGAAUUCCAUGUGUAGCGGUGAAAUGCGUAGAUAUAUGGAGGAACACCAGU